UACAGAGGUGGCAAGCGUUGUUCGGAAUUACUGGGCGUAAAGGGCGCGUAGGCGGCCCGUCAAGUCCCGUGUGAAAGCCCCCGGCUCAACCGGGGAACUGCACGGGAAACUAGCAGGCUUGAGUUCGGGAGAGGGAAGCGGAAUUUCGGGUGUAGCGGUGAAAUGCGCAGAUAUCCGAAGGAACACCGGUGGCGAAGGCGGCUUCCUGGACCGACACCGACGCUGAGGCGCGAAAGCUAGGGGAGCAAACGGG
rnacentral:rRNA from 1 species